UAACCCUAAUCCUAAUCCUAACCAUAACCCCUACCCUAUCCCUGAACCUAACCGUAACCCUAACCCUAUCCCUAUUCCAAACCCUACAUUUACCCUAAAUUUACCCUAAAACUAACCCUAACCCUGAACAUAUUGCUAACCCUAACCCUAACCCUAACCCUAAGCCUAAGCCUAACCCUAAACUUACUUUAACCCUAACCUUAACACUAACACUAACCCUAAGCCUAACCCUAACACUCCCUGAACAUAUUGCUAACCCUAACCCUAACCCUAACCCUAAACUUACUUUAACCCUGACAUUAACACUAACCCUAACCCUAAGCCUAACACUACCACAUACGUAACUCAAACCCAAUUUUCCGACAACUACCCCUAACAGUAAGCCUAACGCUAACAAUAACCCUAACCAAAACCCUUACCCUAAACUUACCCUAAGCCUAACCCGAACCCUAACCCUACCCUAACCCUAACCCUACCUGAAUCGUAACCAUUAUCCUAACACAAACCCCAAACCUAACCGUUAGCGUAACCCAAAACCUAACGGUAAAGCUAAGCCUUACCCUCACCCUCACCCUAACCCUAAUCCGAACUCAAACUCUUACCCUAACCGUAACCCUAACCCUAACCCUAAACCUACCCUAACCCUAACCCUAACCCUAACCCUAACGCUAACUCAACACUAACCGUAACCGUAAACCUAAACCUAACCCUAACCCUAACCUUAACCCUAACUCUAACCCUAUCCCUAACCCUAACCCUAACCCUAAGCCAUACCCUAAUCUUACCCUAAGCGGAACCCUAAACCUAAUCCUAACACUAACCUACCCCUAACCAUAAAGCUAAACAGAACACUAACUAAAAGCAUAACCCUAAUCCUAAUCCUAACCAUAACCCCUACCCUAUCCCUGAACCUAACCGUAACCCUAACCCUAUCCCUAUUCCAAACCCUACAUUUACCCUAAAUUUACCCUAAAACUAACCCUAACCCUGAACAUAUUGCUAACCCUAACCCUAACCCUAAC
ensembl:lncRNA